rnacentral:lncRNA from 10 species
CGCAGUCAAGUCAGUACGUGAUUUUGUUUUAAUAACGCAAAGGCAGUAGAAGCAUUUCACAGAGUUCAUUCAACAGGUCUAUUGAAGAAGCUGGAUUUGAAGACUACGUUUCUGUUUGGGUUCGCUGCCUCUUUUCCAGCAAGCAUGGGAGGACCAAGGCCAUCUCAGUUCCAGAGCUUCCAUUAGGUCAGGCUGAGGCCUCUGUUGAGACUACAUCAGCAGUUCAGCUUCUUCUUCCGCCCAACCCGUCAUUCCCCUACUGGUGAUAUUCGCAAGAGCACUCCGAUAAACCUACACUCAAAUCUUGCUAUCGGAGUCUGUUUCGGGGGACCCGACCUAAAACAACCAUUGUAGCCCCAGCCCAGAGCCGUGCACAUAG